UACGGGGGGAGCAAGCGUUGUUCGGAUUUACUGGGCGUAAAGGGCGCGUAGGCGGCCACCGCAAGUCGACUGUGAAAUCUCCGGGCUUAACCCGGAAAGGUCAGCCGAUACUGCGGGGCUAGAGUGCAGAAAGGGCAAUCGGAAUUCUUGGUGUAGCGGUGAAAUGCGUAGAUAUCAAGAGGAACACCUGAGGCGAAGGCGGGUUGCUGGGCUGACACUGACGCUGAGGCGCGAAAGCUAGGGUAGCAAACGGG
rnacentral:rRNA from 1 species